CCUACGGGGGGCUGCAGUGGGGAAUAUUGGACAAUGGGGGCAACCCUGAUCCAGCCAUGCCGCGUGUGUGAAGAAGGCCCUCGGGUUGUAAAGCACUUUCAGUGAGGAAGAACGCCUGGUGGUUAAUACCCAUCAGGAAAGACAUCACUCACAGAAGAAGCACCGGCUAACUCCGUGCCAGCAGCCGCGGUAAUACGGAGGGUGCGAGCGUUAAUCGGAAUUACUGGGCGUAAAGCGCGCGUAGGUGGCUUGAUAAGCCGGUUGUGAAAGCCCCGGGCUCAACCUGGGAACGGCAUCCGGAACUGUCAAGCUAGAGUGCAGGAGAGGAAGGUAGAAUUCCCGGUGUAGCGGUGAAAUGCGUAGAGAUCGGGAGGAAUACCAGUGGCGAAGGCGGCCUUCUGGACUGACACUGACACUGAGGUGCGAAAGCGUGGGUAGCAAACAGGAUUAGAUACCUCAGUAGUC
rnacentral:rRNA from 1 species